rnacentral:lncRNA from 1 species
UUCUAUGAAGCCAACAUUACUAUCUUUAUCUAGAAAAAUGAACAAGGAAAUUGAUGGUCAGAGAGGUUACACGGCUGGUACAUGCCAGGGCACCCGAGUUCUGGACCCAGCUCUGCUGUGGGCUGGGGGGUCACAGAGAAGGGCAGGGCCCUCUGCCUUCAGGAAGCUUGCAGUCUAAUUGGCCUCAUCCACGCCCUUCCUGUCUUCAAAUACCGCUCCCAGGGGGCCUGCCAGGGAUGGCUAUUUGUGGCUCAGGGAGGAGGUCCAGUGACGAUCCCCUCAUAAAUUAUAGAGAGAGACACAUGUGGGUCAGGAUUGGGGAAUUCAGUGCACGAGGGAUCCCCAGGAAUCUCGCUCGGCUUAGUGUGGGAUUGUCCUUCUCUUCCCCAGGAGAGUGGCUGACGCAGGCAGCGGGCGCUUGCUGAGCUCCCAUAAUGAGCUCCCGGGGCGUCUCCUGGUCCUGCAGAAGACGCUCAUGUUGUCCCAGCCCUGGCCGCGCACUGUGCUCCAUUUCCCACAGCUGGAGCCCUUAGCCCUGACCACUGGCUGCUCGGAGACGGGCGUCCUCGUCUCUCAACUGAGGGCUGUUUUGUCUUGUACACCCCAGCACCAGAUGAGUCAGCUUUGAACAGGGCUGUGCAUGCUGCGGCUUUGAGAUCCAGUCCUGCUCCAGGCUCUGGGGACCCCUCAGGUAUGGUCCAAGCGUACUGAACCUUCUCUUGGCGAUGUGGUCAUGAAUGGCAGCGAUGCCCCUUCUCUGAAUGGUCUCCACCAUUUGCUUUUGAGUUCUUGAGCCUAUUGUUUCAGCAUUCCAUCCUCUUUGUCGCUGUCAGAAUGUCACUUUACCGUCCUUAGCUUCCGACUGCCCCUAGCAGUCUCUCCCUCCUAACACACUUCUUCGAAUCUGUGAGUUGUUAGGCUUGGCUGUGCUCUCAGCCACCCGGCAGGAAGGGAGGGCCAGAGGCCUUCCUUCUAUGAACAAGGCCAUGGAGAGUGGAGAUUAUCAGAAGUCAGUUCUCCAUGGGCGAGAGGCCACUGCAGGCCUUUCUGUGUACCGACCCACAAGGACUGGACAAAUACUUGCUUCAUGGGGUGUGUGAGAGCUUGCUCCUCUUCCGGCCCCUCCUCUGCCUCGCUCUCCGCUCUGCAGCACAGCAGCCCAGCCGUGGGGGUGGGAGGAG